rnacentral:rRNA from 1 species
UACAGAGGGUGCAAGCGUUGCUCGGAAUCAUUGGGCGUAAAGGGUAGGUAGGUGGUCUCAUUUGUCUGGGGUGAAAGCCUUGAGCUUAACUCAAGAAGUGCCCCGGAAACGGUGAGACUGGAGUCUUGGAGAGGGUCGUGGAAUUCCCGGUGUAGCGGUGAAAUGCGUAGAGAUCGGGAGGAACACCAGAGGCGAAGGCGGCGACCUGGACAAGCACUGACGCUGAGGCGCGAAAGCUAGGGGAGCAAACAGG